rnacentral:rRNA from 1 species
AACGAACGCUGGCGGCAUGCCUAACACAUGCAAGUCGAACGGGAUCCUAGCUUGCUAGGUGAGAGUGGCGGACGGGUGAGUAACACGUGGGAAUCUGCCUUUUGGUUCGGGAUAACCGCGGGAAACUGCGGCUAAUACCGAAUGCCCUCGAGAGAGGAAAGAUUUAUCGCCAGAAGAGGAGCCCGCGUCCGAUUAGGUAGUUGGUGGGGUAAAGGCCUACCAAGCCGACGAUCGGUAGCUGGUCUGAGAGGAUGAUCAGCCACACUGGGACUGAGAUACGGCCCAGACUCCUACGGGAGGCAGCAGUGGGGAAUAUUGGACAAUGGGGGCAACCCCGAUCCAGCAAUGCCGCGUGAGUGAUGAAGGCCUUAGGGUUGUAAAGCUCUUUUGCCAGGGAAGAUGAUGACUGUACCUGGAGAAUAAGCCCCCGGCUAAACUUCGUGCCAGCAGCCGCGGUAAU